rnacentral:ncRNA from 2 species
UCCUGCCAGUCAGGAGAGCGCUUCCCCGUGAAGCCGCCGAAGGCGCAGGCGACCGGUUCACCGGUCCUGAACGCUCAGGCAAAAGGACUGGCAACCACCG